UGGCCGUAAACGAUGUGGACUUGGUGUUGGGAUGGCUCCGAGCUGCCCCAGUGCCGAAGGGAAGCUGUUAAGUCCACCGCCUGGGAAGUACGGUCGCAAGACUGAAACUUAAAGGAAUUGGCGGGGGGAGGCACCACAACGCGUGGAGCCUGCGGUUUAAUUUGGAUUCAACGCCGGACAUCUCACCAGGGGUGGACAGCAGAAUGAUGGCCAGGUUGAUGACCUUGCUUGACAAGCUGAGAGGAGGUGCAUGGCGUGUGACUGU
rnacentral:rRNA from 1 species